ACCAAAAGCCCCAGGACCCCAGUGGUCCAAGACUUGGAGGAGCUGGGGGCUCUCCCCGAGGAGGCGGCAGGUGGUGACGAGGACCGGGAAAAGGAGAUUCUCAUGGAGAGGAUUCAGUCCAUCAAAGAAGAGAAGGAGGACAUCACAUAUCGACUGCCGGAGCUGGACCCACGGGGUUCUGACGAGGAGAACCUUGACUCAGAGACAUCAGCCAGCACUGAGAGCCUGCUGGAGGAGAGGGCCGUGCGGGGGGCCGCAGAAGAGUGAAGACACCCCGGAGGACCCCCAUCAUGCCCAUGGCCAACAUCAAGCUCCCUCCGGGCCUGCCCUUGCACCUGACGAGCUGGGCACCUGCUCUCCAGGAGGCUGCUGUUCCAGUGAAGCGCCGAGAGCCACCUGCCCGCCGACAGGACCAGGUACAUUCCGUAUACAUCGCCCCUGGAGCUGACCUGCCAUCGCAGGGUACACUAGGACCCCUGGACCACCAUGAUGCCAUACUUCCUGGGGCCAAACGCAGGUAUUCAGACCCCCCUACCUACUGCCUGCCCUCCAGCUCCAGCCAAGCCAAUGGCUGAGGACCAUGACUGGCCAUCUGCGUGUUCUAAAAUCCCCGAACUGGCAUCCCAGCUGUGGAGCCGGCCUUCACUCUCUGAGAAGGAUCUAGAAUGAAAAGUUCCCAGAGGGAUGCUGUGGCCAGCUCUGUGUGUUGUGGAGGCUGGGGACUGCUGGCCAGGACCAUCAGAGCCCCAACCUGCACAGCAGUUCCCCCCCCCCCCUUUGUACUUUUCAGUAACUGUUUCUCUUUUUGUGGUUUACAUAACUUUUAAGUUCAUAACAGCCUUAAUGGAGGACCAAACUUUUUGUACGUGUGUCUGAGCUUUGAUAUUAACUGUCCACCGCUGUAACCUGGACAUGGGCAGGACUAGCCUGCAAAGUGGAUAUGUGGGCCACACCUGGCGACUGCACUCCACAGCCAUGGAGAGCAAGCAAGCAAGCGAACGAGCGGACUCACAAGACACCUCUUACCCUUGAAUACCUCCCAGCAGCGGUCAUCUGGCCAGAGAACCUUCCAGAGAUUGUGGGAGCUGUCCACAGGGUCACAGCUGAAGGCAGGACAGAAUGGGAAGUCCCUGCAUCGCAGGGAUGCUCUACCCACUGCCUGUGGGCUGCAAGGAGCCAGGGAUCGGAGCUGUAGGGACAAGCAGUGCAUGUCCCGAAUUUCCUCUGCAGCCCCCGUGUCAGCCUGGGUUCUUAAGAGGCUGGCUCUCUUCUCAGGCCCUACCCAGUCCUGGACACAAGGAAGCCCCACCGGAGGUGUGAAAUAAAAGUGCUUGACAAGUGUU
rnacentral:lncRNA from 1 species